rnacentral:tRNA from 1 species
UCCUCAGUAGCUCAGCGGUAGAGCGCUCGGCUGUUAACCGAUUGGUCGUAGGUUCAAGUCCUACCUGGGGAG